rnacentral:tRNA from 1 species
GGUGGCAUGGCCAAGUGGUAAGGCAGGGGUCUGCAAAACCCUUAUCGCGGGUUCGAUUCCCGCUGCCACCU